rnacentral:lncRNA from 1 species
CAUCAUCCCUUUGUUAUCGUAACAACAUACAUGAUUGAACUGAACCAUUAAGUAAUCAUGGAGGAUCCAAAAUCUUAAGCAUAUUUUUGUAAUUAUGUAUCAUUUUUAGGUUAUUCAUGGAAACUCCCCCCCCCCUGCAUUUUCUUCUUUCAAGGAAGGAUAUAUUAGAUUUUUUGUUGAAUAUUAAUUAUCGAUCAAACUAAAACUUUUUGGUUUUUCAAUUACUUAUAUCUUCUAUAAUAUGCAUUUAUCCAUAUAUAUUUAUAUAUUUUCUUUACCAGUGUACUAGAUUUCAACAUGAACUUUAUCAAUUAACUCAUAUAAGUUAUAUUGUGAGAUAUACA